rnacentral:rRNA from 1 species
GUGGGGAAUAUUGGACAAUGGGCGAAAGCCUGAUCCAGCCAUGCCGCGUGUGUGAAGAAGGUCUUCGGAUUGUAAAGCACUUUAAGUUGGGAGGAAGGGCAGUAAGUUAAUACCUUGCUGUUUUGACGUUACCGACAGAAUAAGCACCGGCUAACUUCGUGCCAGCAGCCGCGGUAAUACGAAGGGUGCAAGCGUUAAUCGGAAUUACUGGGCGUAAAGCGAGCGUAGGUGGUUUUGUAAGUUGGAGGUGAAAUCCCCGGGCUCAACCUGGGAACUGCCUCCAAAACUGCAUGACUAGAGUACGGUAGAGGGUAGUGGAAUUUCCUGUGUAGCGGUGAAAUGCGUAGAUAUAGGAAGGAACACCAGUGGCGAAGGCGACUACCUGGACUGAUACUGACACUGAGGUGCGAAAGCGUGGGGAGCAAACAGGAUUAGAAACCCUGGUAGUCC